AUAUAUAUAUAUAUAUAUAUGUGUGUGUGUGUGUGUGUGUGUGUGUGUGUGUAUUAUAUAUACACACACACACAUAUAUAUAUAUAUAUAUAUAUA
rnacentral:miRNA from 1 species